UACGGGGGGGCAAGCGUUGUUCGGAAUUACUGGGCGUAAAGGGCGCGUAGGCGGUGCUCUAAGUCGGAUGUGAAAACUCUGGGCUCAACCCAGAGCCUGCAUCCGAAACUGGAGUGCUAGAGUUCUGGAGGGGGUAGCGGAAUUCCUGGUGUAGCGGUGAAAUGCGUAGAUAUCAGGAGGAACACCGGUGGCGAAGGCGGCUACCUGGACAGAAACUGACGCUGAGGCGCGAAAGCUAGGGGAGCAAACGGG
rnacentral:rRNA from 1 species